rnacentral:rRNA from 1 species
CCCAGACUCCUACGGGAGGCAGCAGUGGGGGAUAUUGCACAAUGGGGGAAACCCUGAUGCAGCGACGCCGCGUGGGUGAAGAAGCGCCUCGGCGCGUAAAGCCCUGUCAGCAGGGAAGAAAAUGACAGUACCUGAAGAAGAAGCCCCGGCUAACUACGUGCCAGCAGCCGCGGUAAUACGUAGGGGGCAAGCGUUAUCCGGAUUUACUGGGUGUAAAGGGGGCGCAGACGGCGAUGCAAGCCAGGAGUGAAAGCCCGGGGCCCAACCCCGGGACUGCUCUUGGAACUGCGUGGCUGGAGUGCAGGAGGGGCAGGCGGAAUUCCUGGUGUAGCGGUGAAAUGCGUAGAUAUCAGGAGGAACACCGGUGGCGAAGGCGGCCUGCUGGACUGCAACUGACGUUGAGGCCCGAAAGCGUGGGGAGCAAACAGGAUUAGAUACCCCUGUA